GACGAACGCUGGCGGCGUGCUUAACACAUGCAAGUCGAGCGGUAAGGCCCUUUCGGGGGUACACGAGCGGCGAACGGGUGAGUAACACGUGGGUGACCUGCCCUCAGCUCUGGGAUAAGCCUGGGAAACUGGGUCUAAUACUGGAUAUGACUCCACGGUGCAUGUCGUGGGGUGGAAAGCCUUGUGCGGCCGAGGAUGGGCCCGCGGCCUAUCAGCUUGUUGGUGGGGUGANGGCCUACCAAGGCGACGACGGGUAGCCGGCCUGAGAGGGCGACCGGCCACACUGGGACUGAGACACGGCCCAGACUCCUACGGGAGGCAGCAGUGGGGAAUCUUGCGCAAUGGGCGAAAGCCUGACGCAGCGACGCCGCGUGA
rnacentral:rRNA from 1 species